AAAUCCAUACAAAGGCAACUUUCUAACGGUGCGAAUUGGCAGCGAGAGAGAGGCGAGGGCAGAGAAAAUCAAAGAGCGAAAUUCUCUCCAUACAUUCUCUCUUGGGACCUUCGACGCAUCUCUCUCUCACAGAUGGCUCUUCGAACUCUCCCGAAUAUCUGAUCCCUCGUUUAUCGGGAGGGAGAUCGAGUGUCUUUCGAGGAAUGGCUGGUAAACCGUAGUAGUUGUCCGUGAGGACGGAUUUACGAUCCCGGCGCCGAAAAUCUUCUGUGUGGCUUGUACCUCAUAACGUAUCCUACUGAGGCAAAGAUGAUUUAGCGUACGUGGUGGUUUCUUUUGUUUUUGUUGGUUUCAUCGCACUUCUAUUCGUAUGCAGGAGUGAUUAUGAGAGCAUUUCAUUUAAGCUUUUGAGGCGGCACAGGUAAAUGCCUUUUGGAACUCUAGUAGAGUAUGGAUGGGCCUCUUAAUAAAAAAAAAUAGGUUUGCCCUGUCUUAAUAAGAAAAGUGGGUGGGACUCUGAUUUAUACUGUAGAAAGACAAUGGCACUAUUGGGUAUAGUCAGCUCAUGGAAAAUUGGCGGCCUUCUAUAAUUGAAUAAAAUCUUGGACCGUCAAUGAAUUGGGCCUAAGCCCGAAUA